GACGAACGCUGGCGGCGUGCUUAACACAUGCAAGUCGAACGAUGAAGCCGGAGCUUGCUCUGGUGAAUUAGUGGCGAACGGGUGAGUAACACGUGAGUAACCUGCCCUUGACUCUGGGAUAACUGCGGGAAACUGUAGCUAAUACCGGAUACGACCCUCGGAGGCAUCUCCUGGGGGUGGAAAGAAUUUCGGUCAAGGAUGGACUCGCGGCCGAUCAGCUAGUUGGUGAGGUAAAGGCUCACCAAGGCGACCACGGGUAGCCGGCCUGAGAGGGUGGCCGGCCAACAUGGGGCUGGGACGCGGCCCAGACUCCUACGGGAGGCAGCAGUGGGGAAUAUUGCACAAUGGGCGCAAGCCUGAUGCAGCAACGCCGCGUGAGGGAUGACGGCCUUCGGGUUGUAAACCUCUUUUAGCAGGGAAGAAGCGAAAGUGACGGUACCUGCAGAAAAAGCACCGGCUAACUACGUGCCAGCCGCCGCGGUAA
rnacentral:rRNA from 1 species